GGAAACCGACAUCCCCAAGGCAGAGGAGAGCUGGGUGAGGGAGUGCCAGCAGCCACGAUUUGGAGCUAUCAAGGCCCACACUGCCCACCCUUCCCAAGCGAGUGAGAAGGCAGGUUCCCAAAUCCUGUCUCCAGACCAGGUGUUUACCCGACAGAGAAGAAGGCGCGUGUCCCUACAAAGACUGGUGCACGGAUGUGAUAGCCCCAAACCGGAAACCACACAGAUGUCCCACAAACAACCCAGAUUGACGUGCUGGAAGGGCAGAGGAGAGCCCUCCACGGAGCGGUCAGGUCAGGACGCGGCUGAGGGGACAGGCCUGCAGCACACGGACGCCGCAUCAGUGUUUGUUGAAGCCCAGGGCUGGCCUCCUUCCUGCAUCUGUUCUGGAACCACCGCUUGGCCAGACCGGGACCCACUUACUCCUUCCUCUUCGAGGGACACGGGGGGUGCUACCUGUGACUCUCAGCCACAGACAGCGUACGGGGGGCGGCCCCACACACAUCCCUCUGAGAGGUGAGCUCGGAGGAGCAGCCCCUGGUCUAAGCCUUGACCUGGGAGCCCCUUCCCGGGGUUGGCUGUCCCCACAGAAGGGUCACCGGGUGUGGGUGUGUGACACCAGUCCUGCUUCACGGCAGGCUCUCCCAGGACGGGGCGCGAACUCCUGGGGCUGACCAACACUCCUGCCGAGAACCAGCCUCAGGCCCCUGCGUAUGUGCACCCCUGGUCCCUGAGGGGAUCCCCCGCCCCUGCCCCCGGCCUGGGCAGGCCAGGCCAUCCUGAGGAGGGCCGACCGGUGGACAAGCCUCCCUGGUGGCGAAGCCCAGCUCACACUGUCAUUGGCCCGGGGUGUUCCUUCUCAGGCUUCUCUGUAGCUCUCCCCAAGGGUCGUGGUCUGGAGCGGGAGGCAGGAGCUGGGGACGGUGCUGGCAUUCACGGCCCCCUCCCGCCUACCACACACGACGUCCCCUGGAGGGACGGCCAUCGUGCCAGCCCGCCCGGGGCCCCUGUGUGGCCGGUGGGCGACGGGGCUCUGGCCACCUCUGGCUGCUGAGUUGGGCACCCACAGCCCAACUUGGCUCGGGCGGGGAGGGGCCGCUUGCAGAGGCCUUCUCCUCUGCCAACCCAGGUGGAGACCCUCGACCAGAAGGGUGUCGGGGAGACUUCUGGCCUGGUGUCAGGGUGCCUGGGCCGCGCCCCAGUGGCCAUGGCAGAUGGUAACGUCUCGGUGCUGGGCCGGACAGUGGCACGCAUGAAUCCCGGCAGCCACACCCCGCACUCACCCAGCCUGGGAGGGGUGUGCACCCGUGCCGUCCCAUCACGCCAGGGGCCAGGUUCCAUCCACACCCUCCCACUGCCCAAGCUGCCCCAGCGCCCUCUUUGGGCUGUGAGCGAGGGCACCAGGCUCAGGGUGUCCCUCCUCUGCAGCCGCGCCACCCCUCCUGCGGCCCUCAACGGGGCCCCCCUCCCCUACCCUCCCCCAGCAGGCCCACUGCCGGCCCCUCCCUGUGCUGGACUCCAAGUCAUGCCUGGUUUGGUCUAUGCACAAGCUGGGAGGAGUCCAAGGGCAAGGUUAGAGGCCUCGGGCCUGCGGGGCACCCCUCUCUUCCUCCCUCGCACCUGGAAGGGUAACACCCCUGCCUGGGGCUCCCUUGGGCUUUCUGCUUCCCGACCCGCCUCUGCAGCCGGUCCCUGCGUCGAAGCCGGAGUGCGCACGUCCUCCCUGCCGGGGCCCUGACCCACGGGGCCAUCAGCACUGGCAGUGGCCCCAGGACACGGACCUUCCACACGGGCUCCUGGCACGAGGCGGCUCAGCUCUGAGGAGUUGGGGGUUGACCCUGUGGCUGGGAAGUGGCGUCACGGGCACUCAGGCUCCCCGGGCACAGCGCAGGUGGAAGCAGAAAGGGAAGAAGGGAAACUGAGCGGGGCCACGUGGGGCCGGGUCUCUGUGGCCACUGGGUGGCGCAAGGCUGGACUCGCGGAGGUCCCCGUUUGCCGAGGAGUAGCGUUCACGACUUGUAAACUGCUUGCAAACUGUCCCUCAGGAGGGACACCCGAGACUUGAGAAGGACACGGGGCCAAGGCCGCUCGGUCCUCUAGCCCAGGGCCAUGAAGCCCUCGCCCGUCACAUCCACAUCCGUGCCCGGUCAUCCCUCCGCCUGCAGAACCCGAGGAGGUGCGACCCUAACACGGCACCCCACCCCCCCCCGGGGCGAGGAAGCCUGGGUCUCCGCGGCUGCCCUGACAGGAGCCCGAGAAGCCUCAUGGCAGCGUAUCUCGAUCGGCACACAGGUGCGUGAUGGUGCGGCCACGGGGACCAGGUGUGCGGAGCCGGUCCGAGCGCCUGGAGUGGAGGAGGCUGGCUGCCCACCGGCAACUACAGCGCCACCCGCCUCGGGACCUGCCGCUCGGGGCCUGGGGUCCUGGCCGUGCCCGAGACAGGCCAGUGAGUCGGAUCAAGUCCUGAGGGGCCCCGGGCGGCCCAUACGUGGGUGUCUCUGAAGUGGCGGACCGCAGGCGUCUUCUGCAAACAAGAAGAGACCGGUUACGUGCAGGGCGCCAAGAGACGAAGCAGACGUCAGCUUCCAAAGCACCUGCUCGGGGGAACUGCAGGCAGAUGGUGUCUGGUGGGCCAUUCUCAGACACGACCAGUCACAGUGACGCUCCAGAGCCCUUGAUGGAGGGGCAGGUCGGGUCCCCUAAAGGAAGAGCUCGUAACACAGCUGCUGGCACGUGUCUCCAAGUGCAUAUGGGGCACUGUGACUGCUCUCAGACCUCUGGGGGUUACUGGAUAAUGGCCCUGAGAUGAUGCCAAUACCAUCACCUGAAAGCCAUUACAGUGGUGGCGGGGGGCAGUAGAGGUGGCACUGGCCGAGUCCGUGAGCCCGAGGGCUCUGCAGACUCUGCCUUCAGGGCCUUCUGUAGUCCCCGGAACGUAGAGGGGGGGCGUUUCUAUGUAACCAGUGGCCCGGCCAUUGCGGAAGCCCCCAGGCCGGCCCCUCCCUGCCCAGCCCAGACCAGCACAGUUGUGCGACACCCGCAGAGAUCGGUUCCGGCGUCAGACCCUUGGGAGCUGCCAGGGGGCGGAUCCCUUCUGUGUUCACACAGCUUGCCGGAUGCUGCCAGGACAGGUGACCACCACGUAUCCUGUGCCGAGGCCGAUCGUAGCUGAGAGUACGGAGAAAACCACAUGUGGUUCCGUCACCUGAUCCACGGCUAACCUGCAUAUGCUUUUUCUAUCCUCAGCGAAGAAGAAAAUCGGAACAGCCAGUUUUCGUACAACGCAGAGGCCAGCACGCUCCCACGGUGCCCCUUGAUGGCACCACCCCCGUCUUAGUCUGGCCCUUCAGGGAUCUUGGUUUUCUCGAGGACACUGCCCGGCCGGCCGGCCGAACUUGGGCAAGUACCCUGCAUGCCCUGGUAAGACCCGUGGUGACCACAGGGUGGGAAAGGCCAGGAGCUUCCAGGAAAACCUUCGGGAUCCGAUGGUCUAGGAGAUGCCGGCACGUCCUGUCUGAAGUAAGGUAAUUUGCUGCGCCCGACAGCACCUGCUUCUGCGAGGCCCGGUGCUCGGUGACACUCUAGACUUGGGGUGCGGCACGCACCAGUACACGCCCUCUUCUCUAGCCGCUUUCCUGGGCAUCGGGCAGUAUCGGCAAGAGAAGUCCCUGCAGCUCAUCCAGGCAGGACACAGGCCACUCGCCACUUGGGUGGACGGCCCAUCGGGCCCACAUUGCCAGUGGUAGGUGCCCACAGGAGAAAGCCCUCCAGCCCAGACUCCUGGCGCCCUAGGGCAAGGCCACUUCCUCCUGAUCAAAAUCAGUUAUGCACUCGAGGGGGCGCCUGGGGGGGCUCAGCGGGUGGAGCGUCCGCCUUCAGCUCAGGCCAUGAUCUCGCAGUUUGUGAGUUCCAGCCCCGCGUCGGGCUCUGUGCUGACCGCUCGGGGCCUGGAGCCUGCCUCGGAGUCUGUGUCUCCCUCUCUCUCGGCCCCUCCCCAACUCACUCUGUCUCUUAAAAAUAAACAUUGAAGAAAAUUAAUUAUCCACUUGAAAAGGGGCCCUGAGCUGGGGCCGAAGUCUGGCCCCAUCUCCCCAAGGGCCAUGUGACCCAAGUGCCCCCUGAGGACCAAGUGCAUGCAGUGUUCCCUCCCGAAGGGAAACUAGUAGGGACUGGCCCAGGAACAGCUGGAAGUCAGUGGAACAGACAGGAAGUGCCGGCCCCCCUUGCUCUCAGCCCACCCGGGGCUUUACCGGGGAGGGGGGCGGGGGGGAGGUUCCUGAUGGCUGUUGGGAUACGAGAACAUGCAGACACGGUUGUGGGCAAAGGCACACACGUACGGUGCCUCAGCGGGCCGAACCCAGCCCACGCACCGGGCCCGGCCCGGCUUCGCACAAGGCAGGGAACACAAGGACACAGACACGUGCAGGAAGGAGGCAGCUGUGCACGAGCCCAGGAAAGAGACCUCAAAGGAAGCAACCCUGCCCACACCUUGAUGUCAGACUGGCCUCUGGGGCUGGGAGAGAACGCGUUUCUGCAGUUGGAGCCAUGCGGGACUUUGUCACGCUCUGUCGUGACCACUGAGCUGGCUGAGACAGGUUUCAUGAAAGGACGGGAAGACCAUGCCUAGAACCCGGGGACUGCGCCUUUGGGUGACAAUAGCAGUCAGUGGGUAACGGUGCCCCACAGAGACACACGGACUGGGCCCCCCAGGCACUGAGGCACCCACGUGGGGCAAGAGGAACAGGUAAGGACUUUGGGGUUCAGAGGGAUGGACAGUCAUGCUGACUUCCCGCGAUCGGGCAGUUGGGGGCACCUGGUGGCUCUUGGGUUUUGCACGUGGACAGGGGACCGGCAGGUUUUGGAGAGCCAGAGGGGCUGAGUAGCUCUGGUCUUCCUCUGCCCUUCAGACCUCCCCCCGUCCUGGGCCCCCCGUCCUGAGCCCAACGUAGCCCCGGAGGGCAGCAGAGGAAGGGAGAUCAGAGCCACCACACCCGCACUCCUGCUCACAGGGCCCCCUCCCCGGCUGGCUGCGACCCCGGGCUGAAGGUCUCUGCUCCUCGCCAGGUGGCCUCUCCACACCUUUCUGUCUCUGGACCGGGAACACCGUGCCGAGGCCAGCGCGAUGGGUGAACAUACCUGGGCUGAACACAAAGAGGUUAAAGGUCGACGGCUUCCUGCUGACGGGAGCGUACCCCUCACCACCUGCAGAGAACUGGACCUCAUACGUCCACAGGCACCUGGGAAGGUCAGUCAGGACCGGGGCUGGCGUCCAGGUGGGGCAAGUGUAGACACCGCAGAGUUACAGCCCUAUUGCCUACAGCCCCUUUUCUGACUCCUCCCGGGUCCCUGUACUCUUCCUGCAACGAUGACGGGCCAGCUCGAUGAAGAGAAGGGACAGGGGCUCGACUGCCACCUGUAAACGUCCCCUGUGGGCACCCCGCUCCCCCAUCAACAGGUGUGGCGUCUUGGGCCAUUUGUGUGGUUGUGCGAACAGCGGUGGCCAGGGUGUGAGGGGCAGAGGGCUUGGAGGACCACAGCUGAGUGACCACGUGGGCACUGCAGCCUCCGGGGACCAGAGUGGAGGGCAGGGGGAGGAUGAACAGAACGGGGAUUAGGGGUACCGGGAAUGAACCCACUCACGCACUUGGAGACCACAUGCUCAUCUGACCAGACCAAGAGCACCUGCCCACUGGUCAGGGGCAGAGCCCGGAGCUGGGUCACCUGCAGGGAGAGAGGUGUCGUGACUGGGGGGUGGGCGGGGGGGGGGGGGGGGGCUGGAGGGACCCGGGCAGUGGGGGAGGGGGCCGCCACUUGCCUGGCCUGGCGGCUUCUCUGGGCGUGCGCACACGUGCACCAGCAGGAGUGAGGGCAGUCGGAGCUCCGGCUGAAGCGUCAGGCGGCCGCUGGCAAGGAAGGGGCGCGGCGCCGUGGCCACCGGGUCCUAGGGGCAGGGACUGGUACUCGGGGCCUUGGGACCUUGGGAGCCUCCCCGCCCCGUUCCCACCCUGCCCUCGGACCUCGGCUGCGCGCAUGUGCCGGAACUCCUCUGCCGAGGGGAAGACGGGCCGGCCGAGGCGCUGCCACUCGCCGUGAGGGCUGCAGAACCGGUUGUCCAGGUAGAGUGUGACGUAGACGAGGCCUGCGGAGCCAGACGCUGGGGCCACGCCUCGCCGGGCCCGCCCCCUCCAGAGCCACCCCUUCCCCGGGACCCCAGCUCACC